CUGGCUCAGGAUGAACGCUAGCGGCAGGCUUAACACAUGCAAGUCGAGGGGCAGCGCGAGUAGCAAUACUUGGCGGCGACCGGCGCAAGGGUGCGUAACGCGUGAGCAACAUGCCCGUAUCAGGGGGAUAAUCCAGGGAAACUUGGUCUAAUACCCCAUAGUAAUUUUGUAAGGCAUCUUAUAAGAUUUAAAGCUUUGGUGGAUACGGAUUGGCUCGCGUGACAUUAGCUGGAUGGUAAGGUAACGGCUUACCAUGGCUAUGAUGUCUAGGGGUUCUGAGAGGAAGGUCCCCCACACUGGAACUGAGACACGGUCCAGACUCCUACGGGAGGCAGCAGUGAGGAAUAUUGGACAAUGGAUGGAAAUCUGAUCCAGCCAUGCCGCGUGAAAGGAAGAAGGUCCUAUGGAUUGUAAACUUCUUUUGUAUGGAAGCAAUAAGGCCUACGAGUAGGUUGAUGAGAGUACCAUACGAAUAAGCACCGGCUAACUCCGUGCCAGCCGCCGC
rnacentral:rRNA from 1 species